rnacentral:lncRNA from 1 species
GUUUAGAGACUCAUCAUGUUUGGAAUCUUUUUAAAGCCUCUGGCAAUUCAUAGCACCAUCUUUCCCGUGAGUGAUUGUCAGAUCCAAGGUGAAGGAUCACCGCACAGGACACAAAGUCCCCAGAAACAGCUGCUGUGCCAUGGAUAAGAUGACCUGAACCAGUCUCCAGCUACCAGGAAAGAUGACCUGAACCAGUCUCCAGCCACCAGGAAAAUGACUUGUUGCCAGUGCUACUGCUGCUUCUUCUCCAGGUAGGUGGAGGGUAUAUAAGGCUUUCCCCUUCCUGAAAUAAACUGAGCUUGCUACACCCAGCCUGCCUCCUGGAAUAUGCGCCAUUGACCUUGUGCCUACUCGCCCCCUCCCUCAAGGAG